GGUUAAGCGACUAAGCGUACACGGUGGAUGCCCUGGCAGUCAGAGGCGAUGAAGGACGUGCUAAUCUGCGAUAAGCGUCGGUGAGGUGAUAUGAACCGUUAUAACCGGCGAUUUCCGAAUGGGGAAACCCAGUGUGUUUCGACACACUAUCAUUAACUGAAUCCAUAGGUUAAUGAGGCGAACCGGGGGAACUGAAACAUCUAAGUACCCCGAGGAAAAGAAAUCAACCGAGAUUCCCCCAGUAGCGGCGAGCGAACGGGGAGGAGCCCAGAGCCUGAAUCAGUGUGUGUGUUAGUGGAAGCGUCUGGAAAGGCGCGCGAUACAGGGUGACAGCCCCGUACACAAAAAUGCACAUAUUGUGAGCUCGAUGAGUAGGGCGGGACACGUGGUAUCCUGUCUGAAUAUGGGGGGACCAUCCUCCAAGGCUAAAUACUCCUGACUGACCGAUAGUGAACCAGUACCGUGAGGGAAAGGCGAAAAAGAACCCCGGCGAGGGGAGUGAAAAAGAACCUGAAACCGUGUACGUACAAGCAGUGGGAGCCUCUUAAUGGGGUGACUGCGUACCUUUUGUAUAAUGGGUCAGCGACUUAUAUUCUGUAGCAAGGUUAACCGAAUAGGGGAGCCGAAGGGAAACCGAGUCUUAACUGGGCGUUAAGUUGCAGGGUAUAGACCCGAAACCCGGUGAUCUAGCCAUGGGCAGGUUGAAGGUUGGGUAACACUAACUGGAGGACCGAACCGACUAAUGUUGAAAAAUUAGCGGAUGACUUGUGGCUGGGGGUGAAAGGCCAAUCAAACCGGGAGAUAGCUGGUUCUCCCCGAAAGCUAUUUAGGUAGCGCCUCGUGAAUUCAUCUCCGGGGGUAGAGCACUGUUUCGGCAAGGGGGUCAUCCCGACUUACCAACCCGAUGCAAACUGCGAAUACCGGAGAAUGUUAUCACGGGAGACACACGGCGGGUGCUAACGUCCGUCGUGAAGAGGGAAACAACCCAGACCGCCAGCUAAGGUCCCAAAGUCAUGGUUAAGUGGGAAACGAUGUGGGAAGGCCCAGACAGCCAGGAUGUUGGCUUAGAAGCAGCCAUCAUUUAAAGAAAGCGUAAUAGCUCACUGGUCGAGUCGGCCUGCGCGGAAGAUGUAACGGGGCUAAACCAUGCACCGAAGCUGCGGCAGCGACACUAUGUGUUGUUGGGUAGGGGAGCGUUCUGUAAGCCUGUGAAGGUGGCCUGUGAGGGUUGCUGGAGGUAUCAGAAGUGCGAAUGCUGACAUAAGUAACGAUAAAGCGGGUGAAAAGCCCGCUCGCCGGAAGACCAAGGGUUCCUGUCCAACGUUAAUCGGGGCAGGGUGAGUCGACCCCUAAGGCGAGGCCGAAAGGCGUAGUCGAUGGGAAACAGGUUAAUAUUCCUGUACUUGGUGUUACUGCGAAGGGGGGACGGAGAAGGCUAUGUUGGCCGGGCGACGGUUGUCCCGGUUUAAGCGUGUAGGCUGGUUUUCCAGGCAAAUCCGGAAAAUCAAGGCUGAGGCGUGAUGACGAGGCACUACGGUGCUGAAGCGACAAAUGCCCUGCUUCCAGGAAAAGCCUCUAAGCAUCAGGUAACAUCAAAUCGUACCCCAAACCGACACAGGUGGUCAGGUAGAGAAUACCAAGGCGCUUGAGAGAACUCGGGUGAAGGAACUAGGCAAAAUGGUGCCGUAACUUCGGGAGAAGGCACGCUGAUAUGUAGGUGAAGCGACUUGCUCGUGGAGCUGAAAUCAGUCGAAGAUACCAGCUGGCUGCAACUGUUUAUUAAAAACACAGCACUGUGCAAACACGAAAGUGGACGUAUACGGUGUGACGCCUGCCCGGUGCCGGAAGGUUAAUUGAUGGGGUUAGCGGUAACGCGAAGCUCUUGAUCGAAGCCCCGGUAAACGGCGGCCGUAACUAUAACGGUCCUAAGGUAGCGAAAUUCCUUGUCGGGUAAGUUCCGACCUGCACGAAUGGCGUAAUGAUGGCCAGGCUGUCUCCACCCGAGACUCAGUGAAAUUGAACUCGCUGUGAAGAUGCAGUGUACCCGCGGCAAGACGGAAAGACCCCGUGAACCUUUACUAUAGCUUGACACUGAACAUUGAGCCUUGAUGUGUAGGAUAGGUGGGAGGCUUUGAAGUGUGGACGCCAGUCUGCAUGGAGCCGACCUUGAAAUACCACCCUUUAAUGUUUGAUGUUCUAACGUGGGCCCCUUACCGGGGUUGCGGACAGUGUCUGGUGGGUAGUUUGACUGGGGCGGUCUCCUCCUAAAGAGUAACGGAGGAGCACGAAGGUUGGCUAAUCCUGGUCGGACAUCAGGAGGUUAGUGCAAUGGCAUAAGCCAGCUUGACUGCGAGCGUGACGGCGCGAGCAGGUGCGAAAGCAGGUCAUAGUGAUCCGGUGGUUCUGAAUGGAAGGGCCAUCGCUCAACGGAUAAAAGGUACUCCGGGGAUAACAGGCUGAUACCGCCCAAGAGUUCAUAUCGACGGCGGUGUUUGGCACCUCGAUGUCGGCUCAUCACAUCCUGGGGCUGAAGUAGGUCCCAAGGGUAUGGCUGUUCGCCAUUUAAAGUGGUACGCGAGCUGGGUUUAGAACGUCGUGAGACAGUUCGGUCCCUAUCUGCCGUGGGCGCUGGAGAACUGAGGGGGGCUGCUCCUAGUACGAGAGGACCGGAGUGGACGCAUCACUGGUGUUCGGGUUGUCAUGCCAAUGGCACUGCCCGGUAGCUAAAUGCGGAAGAGAUAAGUGCUGAAAGCAUCUAAGCACGAAACUUGCCCCGAGAUGAGUUCUCCCUGACUCCUUGAGAGUCCUGAAGGAACGUUGAAGACGACGACGUUGAUAGGCCGGGUGUGUAAGCGCAGCGAUGCGUUGAGCUAACCGGUACUAAUGAACCGUGAGGCUUAACCUUACAACGCCGAAGAUGUUUUG
rnacentral:rRNA from 1 species